GCAGCAGCCGCGGUAAUACGUAGGGGGCAAGCGUUGUCCGGAAUCAUUGGGCGUAAAGGGCGCGUAGGCGGGUAAUUAAGUCUGGUGUGAAAGGCAGGGGCUCAACCCCUGGAUUGCACCGGAAACUGGUUAUCUUGAGGACAGGAGAGGAAAGCGGAAUUCCACGUGUAGCGGUGAAAUGCGUAGAUAUGUGGAGGAACACCAGUGGCGAAGGCGGCUUUCUGGACUGUAACUGACGCUGAGGCGCGAAAGCGUGGGGAGCAAACAGGAUUAGAUACCCUGGUAGUCCACGCCGUAAACGAUGAGUGCUAGGUGUAGAGGGUAUCGACCCCUUCUGUGCCGCAGUUAACACAAUAAGCACUCCGCCUGGGGAGUACGGCCGCAAGGUUGAAACUUAAAGGAAUUGGCGGGGGAU
rnacentral:rRNA from 1 species